ensembl:lncRNA
CAGGAAGUGUGUCGUUUGGAUGUGCCGCGCCAAAGUGUGUUUAUAAGGAAACAAACUGUGUUGACAUGUAUUGUUGCUGUGUCUGUUUGCCCUCACCUUGUUCAACUUCUGACUUCAUGGAUCGUUCCAAUAAGAUGAAGUUUUCCCCAGUCUGGAAUCAUUUUGAUCUUUUGACGGCAAAUAAGGUGAAGUGUUGGCUCUGCUCCACAGAGCUAUCUUACAUCAAUAAGAGCACUUCAUCAAUGCUGAAGCAUUAUAGAGCUCAGCAUGGCAAUGAAGAAUUGGCAGAUACUUGUGUGAGUACCCCAGGGCACAAUCUCUGGAAACCUCUGGAUAUGGAGGUUGAGGAGAACAACUCGACCUCGAAUACUACAGCUGGUUCCAUAGUUGAAGUCCAACGCUACCUGGCUGAAACCAACACACCCAGAGCACAAGAUCCGUUACAAUAUUGGAAAAAUAACCAGAAAACAUAUCCACACCUGUAUCAACUCGCACUUAAAUUUUUAUGCACACCAUCCUCAUCUGUACCCUGUGAGAGAGUUUUUUCUCAGGCAGGGGAACUGAUGUCCAAGAAGAGAAAUCGCCUUGGAGCAAAGACACUACAAAAACUUUUGUUCC